UAACGCGUAUCCAACCUGCCCUUCACCACGGGAUAACCCGGCGAAAGUCGGACUAAUACCGUAUGUUGUCCAUUGACGGCAUCCGAUUUGGACGAAAGGCUUGGCGGUGAGGGAUGGGGAUGCGUCCGAUUAGCCAGACGGCGGGGUAACGGCCCACCGUGGCGACGAUCGGUAGGGGUUCUGAGAGGAAGGUCCCCCACACUGGAACUGAGACACGGUCCAGACUCCUACGGGAGGCAGCAGUGAGGAAUAUUGGUCAAUGGGCGUAAGCCUGAACCAGCCAAGUAGCGUGCAGGACGACGGCCCUAUGGGUUGUAAACUGCUUUUAUGCGGGGAUAAAGUGGCCCACGUGUGGGUUUUUGCAGGUACCGCAUGAAUAAGGACCGGCUAAUUCCGUGCCAGCAGCCGCGGUAAUACGGAAGGUCCGGGCGUUAUCCGGAUUUAUUGGGUUUAAAGGGAGCGUAGGCCGCGCCUUAAGCGUGUUGUGAAAUCCGGGUGCUCAACAUCCGGCUUGCAGCGCGAACUGGGGCGCUUGAGUGCGCAGAAAGUAGGCGGAAUUCGUGGUGUAGCGGUGAAAUGCUUAGAUAUCACGAGGAACUCCGAUUGCGAAGGCAGCCUACUGUAGCGCUACUGACGCUGAUGCUCGAAAGCGUGGGUAUCGAACAGGAUUAGAUACCCUGGUAGUCCACGCGGUAAACGAUGGAUGCUCGUUGUCGGCCCUUUGGGUCGGUGACCAAGCGAAAGCGUUAAGCAUCCCACCUGGGGAGUACGCCGGCAACGGUGAAACUCAAAGGAAUUGACGGG
rnacentral:rRNA from 1 species